rnacentral:rRNA from 1 species
CGCUGGCGGCACGCUUAACACAUGCAAGUCGAACGGAGAUAUUUGGUUACUGAGAUAGUCUAGUGGCGGACGGGUGAGUAACACGUGAGCAACCUGCCUUUGAGAGAGGGAUAGCUUCUGGAAACGGAUGGUAAUACCUCAUGACAUACUUUUAUCGCAUGGUAGAAGUAUCAAAGAUUUAUCACUCAGAGAUGGGCUCGCGUCUGAUUAGCUAGUUGGUGAGGUAACGGCUCACCAAGGCGACGAUCAGUAGCCGGACUGAGAGGUUGAACGGCCACAUUGGGACUGAGACACGGCCCAGACUCCUACGGGAGGCAGCAGUGGGGAAUAUUGCACAAUGGGGGAAACCCUGAUGCAGCGAUGCCGCGUGGAGGAAGAAGGUUUUCGGAUUGUAAACUCCUGUCUUAAAGGACGAUAAUGACGGUACUUUAGGAGGAAGCUCCGGCUAACUACGUGCCAGCCGCCGC